rnacentral:rRNA from 1 species
UACGUAGGGUGCAAGCGUUUGUCCGGAAUUAUUGGGCGUAAAGAGCUUGUAGGCGGGUUUGUCGCGUCUGCUGUGAAAUUUCGGGGCUCAACCCCGAACUUGCAGUGGGUACGGGCAGACUAGAGUGUGGUAGGGGAGACUGGAAUUCCUGGUGUAGCGGUGAAAUGCGCAGAUAUCAGGAGGAACACCGAUGGGCGAAGGCAGGUCUCUGGGCCGGUACUGACGCUGAGACGCGAAAGCGUGGGGAGCAAACAGG